GGGGGGCAGGCAGCAGAGGGGAUCAGAGGACAGCCACCGGGUGCCCAUGCCAUACUUUUGCCUCAG
ensembl:miRNA